UGGGGAAUUUUGCGCAAUGGGGGAAACCCUGACGCAGCAACGCCGCGUGAGUGAUGAAGGCUUUCGGGUCGUAAAGCUCUGUCAGUGGGGAAGAAAUGGGACGUGCUAAUAUCACGUUUCCUUGACGGUACCCACAAAGGAAGCACCGGCUAACUCCGUGCCAGCAGCCGCGGUAAUACGGAGGGUGCAAGCGUUGUUCGGAUUUAUUGGGCGUAAAGCGCGUGUAGGCGGUUUCUUAAGUCUGAUGUGAAAGCCCUGGGCUCAACCCAGGAAGUGCAUUGGAUACUGGGAGACUUGAAUACGGGAGAGGGUAGUGGAAUUCCUAGUGUAGGAGUGAAAUCCGUAGAUAUUAGGAGGAACACCGGUGGCGAAGGCGGCUACCUGGACCGAUAUUGACGCUGAGACGCGAAAGCGUGGGGAGCAAACA
rnacentral:rRNA from 1 species